CAGCAGCCGCGGUAAUACAAAGGGUGCGAGCGUUGCUCGGAAUUACUGGGCUUAAAGGGUGCGUAGGCUGAUAUGCAAGUGCCUUGUGAAAUCCCAUAGCUCAACUCUGGAACUGCUUGGCAAACUGCAUGUCUUGAGGUCGGUAUGGGUUGCCGGAACGGUUGGUGGAGCGGUGAAAUGCGUAGAUAUCAACCGGAACGCCAAAGGUGAAGACAAGCAGCUGGGCCUAUUCUGACGCUGAGGCACGAAAGCGUGGGGAGCAAACAGGAUUAGAUACCCCGGUAGUCCACGCCCUAAACGAUGUACACUAGAUCGUAGACGUUUUCACACGCCCACGGUCGAAGCAAAAGCGAUAAGUGUACCGCCUGGGGAGUACGGUCGCAAGGCUAAAACUCAAAGGAAUUGACGGGGGCUCACACAAGCGGUGGAGCAUGUGGCUUAAUUCGAAGCAACGCGAAGAACCUUAUCUAAGGCUUGACAUGCACGGAUUAACUCCGUGAAACAGGGAUCCACACUUCGCAAGAAGUGGAACGUGCACAUGUGCUGCAUGGCUGUCGUCAGCUCGUGCUGUGAGGUGUCGCGUUAAGUCGCUUAACGAGCGAAACCCCUAUCUUCAGUUGACAACUGGUAAUGGCAGGGACUCUGGACAGACUGUCAGUGUCAAACCGGAGGAAGGUGUGGAUGACGUCAAGUCCUCAUGGCCCUUA
rnacentral:rRNA from 1 species